GAGGUUGCAGUGAGCUGAGAUAGUGCCACUGUGCUCCAGCCUGGGUGGCAGAGUAAGGCUCCAUCUCCGGGGGGGGGGGGGAAGCAAUACUUUGGUGCCUAAUUUUAUAGUAAGUUGUAUAUUUGUUUAUAAACGGGGCUCCAUAUAUUAUAUACACUUCAGCCCUACAAACCCUGCAUCUGCACCAUCCCUUUCCAUUAAUUCCUUACCUUCUAAUCAGUUGACCUUUCUGAAGCAUUUCUAAUAGCCUAGAGGGGCUCCUCUUGCCUCCCUCAGGAGAGUGGGCGGGGGAUGGCAGAAAGAAGCCAACAUUUUUUGCCAGCCAGUGGUGCUUCUCUAGGUAUUGUAACACCCAGACCUCCCAGUUAGGCAAGCAAUGGCUGUCCCAUGGGGACACGAGCAGAGUUCAGUGACUUGGCCUGUGGUGGGUUUGCACUGCGGUAGGUCUGCUAAACUGUAACUGCAUUUCCUAGAAUUCCCCUUCCUGAAAAGUUCUGAGGUAACAUGGGCAGGGAAGGAUGUUUGUGUGUGUCUUAGUUCAUUUUCUGUUGCUUAUAACUGAGUAUCUGAAGCUGGGUCAUUGAUAAAGAAAAGGCAUUUAUUUCUUACAGUUUGGGAGGCUGAGGUACUGCAUCUGGUGAGGGCCUUCUUGCUGAUGGAGAUUCUCUGCAGAGUCCUAAGGUGGCAGGGAUACAGACAGGCUCCAGGCUCCUCCAGCUCCUGGUGGAUCUCGUGUGGUCGUGAUUGUAUGAAAAUCAGGUUGCCUGUAGUUUCAGGACACUCUCUACAGGUGUAGUUUUGACUUUGCAAAGCCCUGAACACGCCCUGGCCAGCGAUAGGAGGAGAUGCCGAAUGCCUCACAUUCACCGUCAGCAGCCCUCAGGUUUCAGCCUUCCUUGCUAACUGCCAGGUAUAAAUCUUCAACUAUUGUCACUGUGAACUUUCUUUUUAUCUUGGAAACCUCAAACAUCAUAGUGUGUGACUUCUGGUGUAUUCAUACCAAAUAGAUCCAAGCAAAGCAAACACAAAUUCAUUGGCAGCAGCAGAGAAUGCUCGGUCAAUCACUGAACACGGCAUCUAGCGUCUGGAACAACGGUGAUCGUGCGAUGGAGCGGACCAUGAGUGGAUUGCAAGUUGGAUUACAUCCAGUCCCAGGCUAUUCUCUUGGGGUCUGCAGUAGGAGAUUCUGUCAAAGCCCCUCCAUUUCCUCUGUUCUGGCAUUAGAACAUCUGGUAGAUCCCCAGGUGGCUGGACUCUCUGUGUGGGAGGUGGGGAGCCCCUGGCAGGAACUGGGGUGGCCCCUCUGGCUGUGCUAGACAAGCACCAAUCCACAGAGCUUUUCAAUGUCCCCAAGGCACUUGGGGGGUGUCCACUGAGUGGCAGUUUCUUCUCAUCUAUCAAUGGGCUGCACCCCCAACUGACAGUCCCAUGACCUGCCCUGGCUUGGGGGAGCCUCCACCCUGCCUGGGCCUCCCAGUUCACGCAGUGGAGAGGGCACCAUUCCUCCCAGUACUGUCCAGUCCAACACCCAGGGACCUGGGCACAUCCACACAUGCCUCCUAACUCAUUCCCCCAGGUAGCAUAGGGUCACCUAGGCAAAGGAAAUUCCAGGACCCACUUUACUCAAGACCCAGGGACAUUCCUAUUUUCCAAAUGAACAUCACUCACGUUGCCUAGGAAACAGCCUCACCUCAAAGAACAUUGGCUCAAAUAAAGGCAACACUA
rnacentral:lncRNA from 1 species